rfam:Eutrema salsugineum unplaced genomic scaffold scaffold_12, whole genome shotgun sequence.
AAUCCAUGGUGAAUGCAGUCACGUUCAUACUCUUUAAAACGCUCCUAGGCUUCAUAGAAAAAAUCAGCCGGUCCUUGCUGAAAACUUGAGAUCUUGGUUAUCAGCAA